UACGUAGGGACCAAGCGUUGUUCGGAAUUACUGGGCGUAAAGGGCGCGUAGGCGGCCUGUUAAGUCGAACGUGAAAUCCCCGGGCUCAACCCGGGAACUGCGUCCGAUACUGGCAGGCUUGAAUCCGGGAGAGGGAUGCGGAAUUCCAGGUGUAGCGGUGAAAUGCGUAGAUAUCUGGAGGAAUACCGGUGGCGAAGGCGGCAUCCUGGACCGACAUUGACGCUGAACGGCGAAAGCUAGGGGAGCAAACGGG
rnacentral:rRNA from 1 species